rnacentral:rRNA from 1 species
AGUGAACGCUGGCGGUAGGCCUAACACAUGCAAGUCGAACGGCAGCACAGGAGAGCUUGCUCUCUGGGUGGCGAGUGGCGGACGGGUGAGGAAUACAUCGGAAUCUACCUUUUCGUGGGGGAUAACGUAGGGAAACUUACGCUAAUACCGCAUACGACCUACGGGUGAAAGUGGGGGACCGCAAGGCCUCACGCGAUUAGAUGAGCCGAUGUCCGAUUAGCUAGUUGGCGGGGUAAUGGCCCACCAAGGCGACGAUCGGUAGCUGGUCUGAGAGGAUGAUCAGCCACACUGGAACUGAGACACGGUCCAGACUCCUACGGGAGGCAGCAGUGGGGAAUAUUGGACAAUGGGCGCAAGCCUGAUCCAGCCAUACCGCGUGGGUGAAGAAGGCCUUCGGGUUGUAAAGCCCUUUUGUUGGGAAAGAAAUCCUGUCGAUUAAUACUCGGUGGGGAUGACGGUACCCAAAGAAUAAGCACCGGCUAACUUCGUGCCAGCCGCCGCCGUAACAC